GACGAACGCUGGCGGCGUGCUUAACACAUGCAAGUCGAACGGAAAGGCCCUGCUUUUGUGGGGUGCUCGAGUGGCGAACGGGUGAGUAACACGUGAGUAACCUGCCCUUGACUUUGGGAUAACUUCAGGAAACUGGGGCUAAUACCGGAUAGGAGCUCCUGCUGCAUGGUGGGGGUUGGAAAGUUUCGGCGGUUGGGGAUGGACUCGCGGCUUAUCAGCUUGUUGGUGGGGUAGUGGCUUACCAAGGCUUUGACGGGUAGCCGGCCUGAGAGGGUGACCGGCCACAUUGGGACGGAGAUACGGCCCAGACGCCUACGGGAGGCAGCAGUGGGGAAUAUUGCACAAUGGGCGGAAGCCUGAUGCAGCAACGCCGCGUGCGGGAUGACGGCCUUCGGGUUGUAAACCGCUUUCGCCUGUGACGAAGCGUGGGUGACGGUAAUGGGUAAAGAAGCACCGGCUAACUACGUG
rnacentral:rRNA from 1 species